UGGGGAAUCUUGCACAAUGGGGGAAACCCUGAUGCAGCGACGCCGCGUGAGCGAUGAAGCCCUUCGGGGUGUAAAGCUCUUUCGGCAGGGAAGAUGAUGACGGUACCUGCAGAAGCAGCUGCGGCUAACUACGUGCCAGCAGCCGCGGUAAUACGUAGGCAGCGAGCGUUGUUCGGAGUUACUGGGCGUAAAGGGUGUGUAGGCGGUUGUUUAAGUUUGGUGUGAAAUCUCCCGGCUCAACUGGGAGGGUGCGCCGAAUACUGAAUGACUUCGAGUGCGGGAGAGGAAAGUGGAAUUCCUGGUGUAGCGGUGAAAUGCGUAGAUAUCAGGAGGAACACCGGUGGUGUAGACGGCUUUCUGGACCGUAACUGACGCUGAGACACGAAAGCGUGGGUAGCAAACAGGAUUAGAUACCCUGGUAGUCCACGCCCUAAACGAUGCAUAUUUGGUGUGGGCAGUUCAUUCUGUCCGUGCCGGAGCUAACG
rnacentral:rRNA from 1 species